GCAUUGCUCUCCAUUUCUAAGUAAUGCACAGCAUUAACAAGGAGGAAUAUUGCGCUCCCUGUGGCUCGGGGUACGGCAGUGUGGAGACCUGCCGCAAAGCGGUGUGCUCAGGCAGCCGUGAGGUCACGUAUGGCGGAGGCCGCGUGAUCAGAGUCGGAAUGUAUGGCA
rnacentral:ncRNA from 1 species